UAAACACGCAGGGAGGGCACCCCGAGUGUCGCCGCUGAGGGCGUUUCUCUAAGCGCUUCUCUGAGCCCUGCUGCUGAAGGCCCCACCCGACCCCUGGCGGGGGCUGGGCUGCGGGCCUUGGGGCGGUGUCCCCCGUGAAUGUUCAGGUCAGCAUAACAGGAACAGAAAUGAAAAAAAGUCGCUGGCAGAGUAGAAGAAGACAUGGGAGAAGAAGCCACCAGCAGAACCCUUGGUUCAGACUCCGUGAUUCUGAAGACAGGUCUGACUCCCGGGCAGCACAGCCCGCUCACGAUUCCAGCCACGGUGAUGACGAGUCUCCGUCAACCUCGUCUGGCACAGCUGGGACCUCCUCUGUGCCAGAGCUACCUGGGUUUUACUUUGACCCUGAAAAGAAACGCUACUUCCGCUUGCUCCCUGGACAUAACAACUGCAACCCCCUGACGAAAGAGAGCAUCCGGCAGAAGGAGAUGGAGAGCAAGAGACUGCGGCUGCUCCAGGAAGAAGACAGACGGAAAAAGGU
rnacentral:lncRNA from 1 species